AGUCAAGGGGGGGUAGCAAUACUCAACCGGCGAACGGGUGCGUAACACGUGAGCGACCUACCUUCUUGCGGGGGAUAGCCGGCCCAACGGCCGGGUAAUACCGCAUACGCUCUCUUUGGGGCAUACCGGGGAGAGGAAACUUUCGAGGCAGGAAGAGGGGCUCGCGGCCUAUCAGCUAGUUGGCGGGGUAACGGCCCACCAAGGCGGUGACGGGUAGCUGGUCUGAGAGGAUGGCCAGCCACAUUGGGACUGAGAGACGGCCCAGACUCCUACGGGAGGCAGCAGUGGGGAAUCUUGCGCAAUGGCCGAAAGGCUGACGCAGCGACGCCGCGUGGGGGGAGGAAGGGCUUCGGCUCGUAAACCCCUGUUGCCCGGGGCGAACAUCCCUUUUCGAGGGGACUGACGGUACCGGGUGAGGAAGCACCGGCUAACUCCGUGCCAGCAGCCGCGGUAAUACGGAGGGUGCGAGCGUUGUCCGGAAUCACUGGGCGUAAAGGGCGCGUAGGCGGCCGAGCAAGGUCGCGGUGAAAGCCCGGGGCUCAACCCCGGGUCGGCCGUGGCAACUACUCGGCUCGAGCACUGUAGGGGCGGGUGGAAUUCCGGGUGUAGCGGUGGAAUGCGUAAAGAUCCGGAAGAACACCGGUGGCGAAGGCGGCCCGCUGGCAGGAAGACACCGCAAGGUGUCGGCUGACGCUGAGGCGCGACAGCGUGGGGAGCAAACAGGAUUAGAUACCCUGGUAGUCCACGCCGUAAACGAUGGGCACUAGGUGCUU
rnacentral:rRNA from 1 species